rnacentral:rRNA from 1 species
GACGAACGCUGGCGGCGUGCUUAACACAUGCAAGUCGAGCGAUGAAGUUACUUCGGUAAUGAAUUAGCGGCGAACGGGUGAGGAACACGUGAGGAAUCUGCCAUUCACUCUGGGAUAACACCGGGAAACCGGUGCUAAUACCGGAUAUAUAAAUUUUGCGGCAUCGCAGAAUUUAGAAAGUUUUCGGUGAAUGAUGACCUCGCGGCCUAUCAGCUUGUUGGUGAGGUAAUGGCUCACCAAGGCGACGACGGGUAGCCGGCCUGAGAGGGCGACCGGCCACACUGGGACUGAGACACGGCCCAGACUCCUACGGGAGGCAGCAGUGGGGAAUAUUGGGCAAUGGAGGAAACUCUGACCCAGCGACGCCGCGUGAGGGAUGAAGGCCUUCGGGUUGUAAACCUCUUUCAGUAGGGAAGAAGCGAAAGUGACGGUACCUAAAGAAGAAGCACCGGCUAACUAUGUGCCAGCCGCCGCCGUAA